GUAAGCCAUUUUAAUUGUUAUGUAUCAGAUGCAGAGCCCAGGACAAAGGACAGAGCUGUGAAAACAAUGCUUGGAGGAUCUGAUCCCUUCUAGCAAGGCCAAGAGACCCGGCUGAGCUGGGAGGACGGGGUCUCCAGGCCUCACCAUGGCCACUUAUAUAGACCCCAGCAUCAAAAGGCUCAAAGCCAAGGACACAGGCUCAUGAAAAAAUUAAGCAGGUUCCCUUGACUGUGGCUUCCAGAAGAGCAGAGCUCUGGAGUCCUGCUGAGCAUGCCAAAUCUGUGGGGGCCAAGAGAUAACUCCCCCUUCACCCUCUGAAGUUUCACUGAAACAUCAACCAACAAAAAGCAGAUUAAUAAGAGAAAUGGCAUACAACUGUGUUAAGAAUUCCAGAAACUGGCCUUAGGAGAUAACCAAGGUUGUGGAGUGUCCCACCUCGGGAAGGAAUGCUGAACAAUUGAUUCGUAGCCUUGUGGCUGUUGGCCAGACCACCAGGUGACCUACUAUUAAUCAAGAGAACCAUUACAACCAAAUAAUGCUGGCCUGCAUACCGUACCCUUCAUGAACUUCGCCCAGCCCAGCCUGUGCACCCUAUCCCUCAUGUCAAUUCCCAUGCUUCGCCUAAUAAAAAAGUUCCACCAGCUCUUUUGAAGGAGUCAGGGAGUUCUCUUUCUCUCCCUCCCGUGCUGCCUCCCUUAUGCCCAGGCAUAAGCUCCAACGAAGCCUUGUCUGGAAAACUCUUUCAGCCUUAUGUCAAUUUCUAUCUCAUUGAGAGCCCACGAGCUCAUGGUGGGUAACAAACUGUCUUUGGUCAUUCCUGGGCGUAGGCCAGGCUAACUGUGGGAGGAAUUUGGUUUAUAGUUUAACUUAAAUGAUAAUAAAGAUGAUAAUAGUCCUUCCCAGAAACUAACUCCCUCCUUGCUCACCAUCAAAUACUUUGUAAGCAAGAAUAGGAUUAUGAGAGGGGCCUGAACUCAGCUAAGAUAUAGACAUAUUUUCUGUAAUCUUUCACUGCUUUGGGAUUAUAGAAAAUGUGGCUAGAGGUCACAAGAUUUGUGACUUUUCCAUUUACAGAUAACGUCACUACUGUAGAACCUAAGGGCUUUUUUGCGAUGUUUUUCAGACUGACCCCACCCAGACUUGUGAGUCAGCUGGUGCAGACUCCAUGCUGAAGGACCAUUUUUCACACCCCUAUUAUUUCAUCCCCCACCAAUUAGCAACACCCAUUCCCUGGACCCUGCUCAUCAAAUUAUCCAUAAAAACUCUAACCUUUGAGCCUACAGGAAGGUGAAUUUGAGUGUGAACUCCUGUUCUCCUGCGUGGGACAGCCUCCAGUCAAUUAAAGUCUUUCUCCUUUGCAA